rnacentral:lncRNA from 1 species
GGGGACUUCACCAAAGUAAUCCACACAAUACAAUAAAUGUUAAAACCGAUUAUAUGUGGUUGCAGUCUAUUAGUGAGGUGGGUCAACCCAUGCCGGAUUGGAACCCGAGUAAUGGAAUCCUAUAAGUAUACAAAAAAUAGAUCACAAGUUCUGUCUCAUUGACCUGAGUUGUGUUGUGAAUCGGUUAGUUUUGAUAGACUUGCAUUAGAUUUAUAGAAUUGGACUAAAUA